AGUUGGCUGGCCUAGUCCUGUGGCUGUGCUUGCCGACGUCCUGACCUUACGAUGGAGGCAAGCCUGUGAACGCCAUGGGGGUAGGAAAAGCAGAGGAUUUUCCUGGGGGUCACUUGGAAGCCUAGGUCUAGAUGUCUAAGCCGCUGUGCCCUGCAGAGCCUGGCUCCUGCAGGUGCUCAGAGAUCCAUGUUCAAAGACUGUGAGCCACAGGCACGCUCUAUGCUCUUCCGGGGUGGCUCUGUAACCAGCAAUGGCUCGCACCGGGAGGAGUCCACGGAAGCUGGGCCUAGUCCUCUCACUCUGCCUCAGUGUACUGGCUGGGUUUGUGUGUCAGCUCAACACAGGCUGGAAUUAUCACAGAGAAAGGAGCUCCAGCUGGGGAAGUGCCUCCAUGAGAUCCAGCUGUGGGGCAUUUUCUACGUUGGUGAUCAUGUGGGGAGGGCCCCUUGUGGGUGAUACCAUCCCUGGGCUGGUAUCUAUAAGAGAGCAGGCUGUGAAAGCCAGGGGAAGCAAGCCAGUAGGUAACAUCUCUCCAUGGCCUCUGCAUCAGCUCCUGCUUCCUGACCUGCUUGAGUUCCAGGCCUGAUUUCUUUUGGUGAUGAACAGCAAUGUGGAAGUGUGAGCUGAAUAAACCAUUUCCUCCCCAA
rnacentral:lncRNA from 1 species